GAUUAUAAAGCUUCAUGAGCAUAUGUUUUGAAAGCAUAAGGAAGGAGUUAAAAUCUCCUAGUAAUCU
rnacentral:tRNA from 1 species